UACGUAGGGGGCAAGCGUUGUCCGGAAUUAUUGGGCGUAAAGCGUGCGCAGGCGGUUUUGUAAGUCAGGUGUGAAAUCUCGGGGCUCAACCCCGAAACUGCACUUGAUACUGCGGUGCUCGAGUACUGGAGAGGAGAUUGGAAUUUACGGUGUAGCAGUGAAAUGCGUAGAUAUCGUAAGGAAGACCAGUGGCGAAGGCGAAUCUCUGGACAGUUACUGACACUGAGGCACGAAGGCCAGGGGAGCAAACGGG
rnacentral:rRNA from 1 species